AGAAUGAUUUAAGUGGAAGUGUGAGGCGGACCAGCCUUGGGCGACGGGCCCCCCUCGCAGCAGCUGUUUGUGCAGAUAGCAUCUCCUGGCCCGCUCGCCUCAGAGGGGGAGCACUCCCCAUUAUCUGUCCCCAGAGAUGGAAAAACAAAACAGCGUCACCAUUAAAGAUACUCGCUGUCACUGUGGAGAAGGCAGGCACAGCUAGUUCCUUCUUGUAUUGAUGGUGUGCACCCCUCUACCUCCCCAUCUCCACCUGGUCUCCGCAAAGUCUUCAAUUCCUAGAAUUCAUCAACCACCACCACCAGUGUCUGGAC